rnacentral:tRNA from 1 species
GCAGCGGUAUCGAAGUGGCUAUAACGAGAACGAUUCGAAAUCGUUUGACGGUUGAUCCCGUCCGUGGGUUCGAAUCCCACCCGCUGCGCCA